AUCACUUCUCAGCCAUUUUGGCAAAGAUCAAGAAUAGUAUCUGUUCUUAUCAGUUUAAUAAAAUCCUCUUCAAAAAUCUGAUAAUCCAAUAGCCACACGUUUACACUCUAU
rnacentral:snRNA from 1 species